rnacentral:lncRNA from 1 species
AGAAGGCCAUAUUUCCAACCAGUUAAUUGAUCACAUGGUAUAACAUAGAAUGCAUCUUUUACCAUUUUAGAUUUUGAAGUUACUUGACCAAAUCUCUUUCCUAAAUAAUUUUGAACUGCAAAGUGGCCAAACAAACCGCUAGCAAAAAAGAGCAACCCUAAACCAACAAGGCUCUCAGUUUUGCGAGGGUUGCUUUGCAAGAAGGUUGUUUUCACAACUCGAACUCAUGACCUUUUGGUCACAGAAGAGCAACCUUAUCAUCGCGCAAGGCGCCCCUACACCACGAGCAAGUACUAUUAUAUUAUUUAGAUUUCAAAAAAUAUGAUCUAACACAGAGAUUACAGUGUCCUAAUUUACACUAUACAACAACAACAACAACAACAAAGCCUUUUCCCACUAAGUGGGGUCGGCUAUAUGAAUCCUAGAACGCCAUUGCGCUCGGUUUUGUGUCAUGUCCUCCGUUAGAUCCAAGUACUCUAAGUCUUUUCUUAGAGUCUCUUCCAAAGUUUUCCUAGGUCUUCCUCUACCCCUUCGGCCCUGAACCUCUGUCCCGUAGUCACAUCUUCGAACCGGAGCGUCAGUCGGCCUUCUUUGCACAUGUCCAAAUCACCGGAGCCGAUUUUCUCUCAUCUUUCCUACAAUUUUGGCUACUCCUACUUUACCUCAGAUAUCCUCAUUCCCAAUCUUAUCCUUUCUCGUGUGCCCACACAUCCCACGAAGCAUCCUCAUCUCCGCUACACCCAUUUUGUGUACGUGUUGAUGCUUCACCGCCCAACAUUCUGUGCCAAAAACAUCGCUGGCCUUAUUGCCGUCCUAUAAAAUUUUCUCUUGAGCUUCAGUGGCCUACGACGGUCACACAACACGCCGGAUGCACUCUUACACUUCAUCCAUCCAUCCAGCUCGUAUUCUAUGGUUGAGAUCUCCAUCUAAUUCUCCGUUCUCUUGCAAGAUAGAUCCUAGGUAGCGAAAACGGUCGCUUUUUGUGAUCUUCGCUAGAUUGCUCCGGUCAUUAGUGUGGAUAAGUAUAUAAAUGGAUAGAGAUAGGAAAGCAAACACAAGAUGUACGUGGUUCACCCAGAUUGGCUACGUCCACGGAAUAGAAGAGUUCUCAUUAAUUGUGAAGGGUUUACACAAGUACAUAGGUUCAAGCUCUCCUUUAGUGAGUACAAGUGAAUGAUUUAGUACAAAUGACAUUAGGAAAUAUUGUGGGAGAAUGAUCUCGUAAUCACGAAACUUCUAAGUAUCGGAGUGUGGUGUCAUCUUGACUUGCCUUAUCUGUCUCAUAGGUAGAUGUGGCAUCUUCUCUGGAAGUACUCUUCCUCCAUCCAGGGGUGGUAUCUUUAACUGGUGGAGAUGCACAAGGUAAUGUAUCAAUUUCACUUGAAGCUUACUUGUAGUUUCAGGCUUGGUCAAGCGCGAUACAAACCAUGUAGUAAGAGUCCCCAAGUCGCCGAGCUAGGGGGUCUGCUGAAAGAGGUGACAGACAAGGUAAGCAAUCAGAGCUCCGACUGAUUGUUCACCUUCUCCCCAUCUUGCAGCAGCAUGAAGGAUAAAGAGAAGAAAAAUGAGAAGAGAUGAUAUGAGAUACUUUUGCUUUUGAAGAAGUAACUUUCCACAGGCUUAUUCUUGAACUGAGCUGGAGGGUUUUCUGGUUUCCUCCAGAGUAUAAGGCCGACUGAAGAAUUUGAGGGUCAAAACAAGUCCAUCAAAUCUAGAGUACGUUCCACCCUGCUGAUAUGGGAUACUUUUUUUUUUUGACAGAGUAAUGGAUGUAUCGGCACGUGUGCUGUUACGCUUGUCUCCACAUGCUUCCUUGUAUCCUUCGCACUUGCCCUAUCUGUUCCUCAAACAGAUGCGGAAUCUUCCCUGGAAACAUAACAUGUUGAAGAUGAGUACUCGAGAGCAAUGCCAGGUAAGUAAUCAGGUAGGUAAGGGGUUCCAGGCAGUCAGUUCCUGGCUGGAAGCUUGAUUCCAAGUGCUGACUGAUGAUUGCUCUCUUUCUCCUUGUCUUGCAGGUAAAAACAAGGCCAAAGGAAAAGACAGGGAAAAAGCAUGAUAUGGGAUACUCUUGCUUUUAACCCUGAUGAUAUGAGAUAUUCUUGCUCUAGUAUAGCUUGUUUGCAGAGGUAUUAUCGGGGGGAAAGAAAGCUGAAUAUUUCGAAAGGCUUCGUUGGGAGUGCCCUCUCAGAUAUGAUGAAGGGUUGAGCAUUUUUGCAGGUCUGCCUGUCCGUUGGGGAUGGAGGUCGACAUAUAUAGGAGUCUCUCUAACAACAAGUAGUAAUGCUAUUCCUUUACCCUGCUUGGUCAUAGCACGGUAGUGGGAGCUGCCAGUUUCACAUGUCUUAACUCUGUCAGAGCACUUUGAAAAAGUGGUCUGUGGUAUCUGGCUCUCGAGAUUCGGAAAAACGAUGCCUCUUCGAUUUUUGAGAAAGCAAUCAUGCUGGGGGUCUGGCUCUCGAGAUUCGGAGAGCAGUGUCUCUUCGAUUUUUGAGGAAGUAAUCAUGUUGGGAGUCUGGCUCUUGAGAUUCGGAGGGCGGUGCCUCUUCGAUUUUGGAGCAAGCAAUCCUGUUGGGAGUGUUGUCUCGAAUGUGAGUAAAGGUUGGGCAUGUUUGCUAGUCUACCUUGCCACGAAGCACAAAGGUUGACACACAGGGACUUUCCAAUUAUCCAGCAAUGGUACUGUUCCUUUACCCUCUCUUCGCUUUUGAGAAAGUAGUCAUGUUGGGAGUCUGGCUCUCGAGAUUCGGAGGACGGUGCCUCUUCGAUUUUGGAGCAAGCAAUCUUAUUGGGAGUGUUUUCUCGAAUGUGAGUAAAGGUUGGGCAUGUUUGCUAGUCUACCUUGCCACGAAGCACAGAGGUUGACACACAGGGACUUUCCAAUUAUCCAGCAGUGGUACUGUUCCUUUACCCUUAUGGGUAAUAAUAUGGUAGCUAGACCUUCAAAAUUUAUGUGUCUAAACUUUGUUAGUGCUGUUUCUUUGCUAUUCUUUUACCUUUCUUGGUCAGAGCGAUGUAGUGGGAGCUGCAAGCUUCACGUGCUCAACUUUGGCAGAGAACUUUGGCAAAGUUAUCUGUGGUACCCAUGAGCUAUUGUUGCGUGUGACAGGUGCUGACAAGGCUAGAAAAGUAGGUGCCUCUUCGAUUUCUGAGAUCGGCCCUCGUGGUCUCUGAGCAGCCCAGCUUUUGAGAAAGCGAGCGCCUCUUCGAUUGAUUCGGAGAACGAUGCCUCAUCGAUUUUUGAGAAAGCAAUCAUGCUGGGGGUCUGGCUCUCGAAGAUUCGGGAAGCAGUGUCUCUUCGAUUUUUGAGAAAGUAAUCAUGUUGGGAGUCUGGCUCUCGAGAUUCGGAGGGCGGUGCCUCUUCGAUUUUGGAGCAAGCAAUCUUGUUGGGAGUUUUCUCGAAUGUGAGUAAAGGUUGGGCAUGUUUGCUAGUCUACCUUGCCACGAAGCACAGAGGUUGACACACAGGGACUUUCCAAUUAUCCAGCAAUGGUACUGUUCCUUUACCCUCUCUUCGAUUUUUAAGAAAGUAGUCAUGUUGGGAGUCUGGCUCUCGAGAUUUGGAGGACGGUGCCUCUUCGAUUUUGGAGCAAGCAAUCUUAUUGGGAGUGUUUUCUCGAAUGUGAGUAAAGGUUGGGCAUGUUUGCUAGUCUACCUUGCCACGAAGCACAGAGGUUGACACACAGGGACUUUCCAAUUAUCCAGCAGUGGUACUGUUCCUUUUACCCUUGUGGGUAAUAAUAUGGUAGCUAGACCUUCAAAAAAUUAUGGGUCUAAACUUUGUUAGUGUUGUUUCUUUGCUAUUCUUUUACCCUUCUUGGUCAGAGCGAUGUAGUAGGAGCUGCAAGCUUCACGUGCUCAACUUUGGCAGAGAACUUUGGCAAAGUUAUCUGUGGUACCCGUGAGCUAUUGUUGCGUGUGGGAAGUGGGUGAUUGAACAGUAAGAUUCAUGUGUUUUCUACUUCCCCAAAAAGUCUUCGACAGAAUGCCCAUAAUUUCCGCAAAGCUGAGUGUGCGUGUGACAGGUGCUGACAAGGCUGGAAAAGUAGGUGCCUCUUCGAUUUCUGAGAUCGGCCCUCGUGGUCUCUGGGGAGCCCAGCUUUUGAGAAAGCGAGCGCCUCUUCGAUUUCUAAGAUCGGCCUUCGUGGUCUUUGAGCAGCCCAACUUUUGAGAAAGCAAACGCCUCUUCGAUUUCUGAGAUCAACCCUCGUGAUCUCUAAGCAGCCCAACUUUUGAGAAAGCAAACGCCUCUUCGAUUUCUGAGCAGGCGCCUCUUCGAUUUCUGAAGCUCCGUCGAGUGCAGAUUUUUAUAGGGGCUGGCAUUAAGUUCCAAAGCACACUUGAAUCUCCACCAAUAGAAGCUUCAUUCUUGCACUUCUAAGAUCUUGAUUUGCCCGACCUCUUCUCUCUUCAACACCUUUGAAAAUGUCUGGCCCCUCCGACCGUCGUUUUGACUUGAACCUUGUUGAAGAGGCAGCCCCGCCUUCUCCAGACAACAUAUGGCGCCCAUCCUUCGUCUCCCUUACUGGUCCUCUUACCGUUGGGGAUUCCGUGAUGAAGAAUGAUAUGACCGCUGCGGUGGUGGCCAGGAACCUUCUCACUCCCAAAGAUAACAGACUACUUUCCAAACGGUCUGAUGAGUUAGCUGUUAAGGAUUCGCUGGCUCUCAGUGUUCAGUGUGCAGGUUCUGUGUCUAAUAUGACCCAACGCCUAUUUGCUCGAACCCGCCAAGUUGAAUCAUUGGCGGCUGAAGUGAUGAGUCUCAAACAGGAGAUUAGGGGGCUCAAGCAUGAUGAGAAUAAACAGUUGCACCGGCUCGCACAUGACUAUGCUACAAACAUGAAGAGGAAGCUUGACCAGAUGAAGGAAAACUGAUGGUCAGGUUUUACUUGAUCAUCAGAGAUUUGUGGGUUUGUUCCAAAGGCAUUUAUUGCCUUCGUCUUCUGGGGCUGUACCGCAUAAUGAAGCUCCGAAUGAUCAACCUCUGAUGCCUCCUCCUUCUAGGGUUCUGUCCAGUACUGAGGCUCCAAAUGAUCCCCUCUGCCUUCUCUUUCUGGGGCUCUACCGACUGCUGAGACUUCUCCUAAGCAACCUUUGUGAAGGCUCCCUCUUGUGUGUUUAUUUUGACUCAUGCAUAUGUACAUAUUUGUAGCUUAUCGGGGAUAUCAAUAAAUAAGCUUUCCUUCAUUUCAACGUAUUGUGUUAAAUACACCAAAGCCUUCUUCGCUAAGUUCUUUGAAUUUUCUUUUGUUGAAGCUUGUAUGUUGAAGCUUUCUGAGUGGAGCAUGUAGGUUGGGGUAGUGUUCCCUUAAUUUCCCGAGUGAGGAAAACUUCUCGGUUGGAGACUUGGAAAAUCCAAGUCACUGAGUGGGAUCGGCUAUAUGAAUCUUAGAACGCCAUUGUGCUCGAUCGAUCCUGUGUCAUGUCCUUCGUUAGAUCCAAGUACUCUAAGUCUUUUCUUAGAGUCUCUUCCAAAGUUUUCCUAGGUCUUCCUCUACCCCUUCGGCCCUGAACCUCUGUCCCACAGUCGCAUCUUCUAAUCGGAACGUCAGUAGGCCUUCUUUGCACAUGUCCAAACCACCGUAACCGAUUUUCUCUCAUCUUUCCUUCAAUUUCGGCUACUCCUACUUUACCCCGGAUAUCCUCAUUCCUAAUCUUAUCCUUUCUCGUGUGCCCACACAUCCAACGAAGCAUCCUCAUCUCCGCUACACCCCAUUUUGUGUACGUGUUGAUGUUUCACCGCCCAACAUUCUGUGUGCCAUACAGCAUCGCCGGCCUUAUUGCCGUCCUAUAAAAUUUUCCCUUGAGCUUCAGUGGCAUACGGCGGUCACACAAACACGCCGGAUGCACUCUUCCACUUCAUCCAUCCAGCUUGUAUUCUAUGGUUGAGAUCUCCAUCUAAUUCUCCGUUCUUUUGCAAGAUAGAUCCUAGGUAACGAAAAUGGUCGCUCUUUGGUAUUUCUUGAUCUCCGAUCCUCACCCCUAACUCGUUUUGGCCUCCAUUUGCACUGAACUUGCACUCCAUAUAUUCUGUCUUUGAUCGGCUUAGGCGAAGACCUUUAGAUUCCAACACUUCUCUCCAAAGGUUAAGCUUUGCAUUUACCCCUUCCUGAGUUUCAUCUAUCAACACUAUAUCGUCUGCGAAAAGCAUACACCAAGGAAUAUCAUCUUGAAUAUGUCCUGUUAACUCAUCCAUUACCAACGCAAAAAGGUAAGGACUUAAGGAUGAGCCUUGAUGUAAUCCUACAGUUAUGGGAAAGCUUUCGGUUUGUCCUUCAUGAGUUCUUACGGCAGUCUUUGCUCCUUCAUACAUAUCCUUUAUAGCUUGGAUAUAUGCUACUCGUACUCCUUUCUUUCUCUAAAAUCCUCCAAAGAAUGUCUCUUGGGACCCUAUCAUACGCUUUUUCCAAAUCUAUAAAGACCAUGUGUAAAUCCUUUUUCCCAUCUCUAUAUCUUUCCAUCAAUCUUCGUAAGAGAUAGAUUGCCUCCAUGGUUGAGCGCCCUGGCAUGAACCCGAAUUGGUUGUCCGAAACCCGUGUCUCUUGCCUCAAUCUAUGCUCAAUGACUCUCUCCCAGAGCUUCAUUGUAUGACUCAUUAGCUUAAUACCCCUAUAGUUCAUGCAAUUUUGUACGUCGCCCUUAUUCUUGUAGAUAGGCACCAAAGUGCUCGUUCGCCACUCAUUUGGCAUCUUCUUCGUUUUCAAAAUCCUAUUGAAAAGGUCAGUGAGCCAUGUUAUACCUGUCUCUCCCAAAAGUUUCCACACUUCAAUUGGUAUAUUGUCUGGGCCUAUUGCUUUUUUUAUGCUUCAUCUUCUUCAAAGCUACAACCACUUCUUCCUUCCGGAUUCGACGAUAAAAAAGAGUAGUUUCUACACUCUUCUGAGUUACUCAACUCCCCUAAAGAAGCACUCAUUUCAUGUCCUUCAUUGAAAAGAUUAUGAAAAUAACCUCUCCAUCUGUCUUUAACCGCGUUCUCUGUAGCAAGAACAUUUCCAUCUUCAUCCUUGAUGCACCUCACUUGGUUUAGGUCCCUUGUCUUCUUUUCCCUUGCUCUAGAUAGUUUAUAGAUAUCCAACUCUCCUUCUUUGGUAUCUAGUCGUUUAUACAUAUCGUCGUAAGCCGCUAACUUAGCUUCUCUGACAGCUUUCUUCGCCUCUUGCUUCGCUUUUCUAUACCUUUCACCAUUUUCAUCGGUCCUCUCCUUGUAUAAGGCUUUACAGCAUUCCUUCUUAGCCUUCACCUUUGUUUGUACCUCCUCAUUCCACCACCAAGAUUCCUUUUGAUGUGGGGCAAAGCCCUUGGACUCUCCUAAUACCUCUUUUGCUACUUUUCGGAUACAACUAGCCAUGGAAUCCCACAUUUGGCUAGCUUCCCCCUCUCUAUCCCACACACAUUGGGUGAUUACCUUCUCUUUGAAAAUGACUUGUUUUUCUUCUUUUAGAUUCCACCAUCUAGUCCUUGGGCACUUCCAAGUCUUGUUCUUUUGUCUUACUCUUUUGAUAUGUACAUCCAUCACCAACAAGCGAUGUUGAUUAGCCACGCUCUCUCCUGGUAUAACUUUGCAAUCCUUACAAGUUAUACGAUCCCCUUUCCUCAUUAGAAGAAAAUCUAUUUGUGUUUUUGACGACCCACUCUUGUAGGUGAUCACAUGUUCUUCUCUCUUCUUAAAGAAGGUGUUGGCUAAGAAGAGAUCAUAUGCCAUUGCAAAAUCCAAGAUAGCUUCCCCAUCCUCGUUUCUCUCCCCAAAACCAUGGCCACCAUGAAAACCUCCAUAGUUGCCUGUCUCCCUGCCCACGUGUCCAUUUAAAUCUCCUCCUAUAAAUAACUUCUCCGUCUGAGCAAUUCCUUGCACCAAGUCUCCAAGAUCUUCCCAAAAUUUCUCCUUCGAACUCGUAUCCAACCCUACUUGAGGUGCGUACGCACUAAUCACAUUGAUAAGUUCUUGUCCUAUUACAAUCUUGAUUGCCAUGAUUCUAUCUCCUACCCUCUUGACAUCUACAACAUCUUGUACCAAGGUCUUGUCCACGAUGAUGCCAACACCGUUUCUCGUUCUAUUUGUGCCCGAAUACCAAAGUUUAAACCCUGAGUUUUCUAGAUCCUUUGCCUUACUACCAACCCACUUAGUUUCUUGUAGGCACAUAAUAUUUAUCCUUCUCCUCACCAUAACUUCCACUACUUCCAUAGAUUUUCCCGUUAAGGUUCCUAUAUUCCACGUUCCUAAACGCAUUUUGCUCUCUUGAACUCUACCCUUCUGUCCUAGCUUCUUCACCCUCCCCCGUCUAAUAGGAUCAAAGUACUUCUUUUGUGUGUCCCGGGUAAAGUUGAUAGGAGCAUAUGCUCCCAAACAACUUUGAGUGGAGUCGUUCGAAAAGAAGUUUCUAUGGCCCCCUUGCUCAUUUAACACUGCAUCCGGAUGCCGAUGGAGAUACAGCGACCCUUGCUCACUUAUCACUGUGCUCGGGCCACACAGCGCGCCACUUACGGGUGACGCCCUAGCUUUAGCGCGAUUUUGUUCUGGAUUCAUUUUCAUAAGGAUUCGACGUGAUCAUGGAGUGCCGGCUGUCGACUACCUGACGCCCUCCCCCUCCUCCUUUAUCCGGGCUUGGGACCGGCCAUGUAAGACAUGGGCGGAGUUGUCCUAAUUUACACUAUAUUAAAGAAUAAAUGUAUUUUCUUCAAACAAAUAAAUGUAUUUAAAAAAAAAGGAAGAAAACAUUAGACACUUG